GCGGCGAGUUUGAGUCCGGGUGGAGGUUUAGAGCAGGCGUCCAAACACGUGUUACAUUGACCUCUAAAUCUAUAUCUAGUCAUGAAAUAUUCCGCCGAUCUUCUAUGUUUAGCUUAUUUAUAGUUUGAGGGGAACAGUGUGACUAGUGUACUUGUUUUCGUAGAGGAAAUGCGCUGUAAACUUUGAGCAACACUGUACUCAUAUGUUAUACAUUUGCAACAAACAGAAACGUUUUGACUUGAACUCGCUGGCUUGUUAUAUAUAUAUUUUUGCUGAAAAUAGUCAAUUGUAACGCAUUUUGAUCGUUUUAUUUAGCUUUAGUUGUUAUUAUUAUAUUGACGCUACACUACUGGAAAGCACUGCAUGAUACUCUAUGUACUCUAUGACUGAUUCCACUGAGAAGACUUGAACAUGAGCGAGAAACACGCGCAGGAAGACAUUAAACUAGAUCCGGAGGACUUGGCGAACCAUGCGAAGCUCGAGGCGGGCGACGCGUCCAAGCUCCCCGGCGACCAGAGCCCAGAGGACGGCCACGGGGAGCCGCAGCCGACCCGUCUGUACAAACGCCGCUGGAUUAUCGUGUUUCUGUUCAGCUCCUAUUCGCUGUGCAACUCGUAUCAAUGGAUCCAGUACGGAAUCAUCGGAAACAUCUUCAUGAAGUUCUACAACGUGGAAGCGUUCACCAUAGACUGGAUGUCGAUGAUCUACAUGCUGACGUACAUCCCGUUGAUCUUCCCGGUGACCUGGCUGCUGGACAAAAAGGGGCUCCGGGUGAUCGCGCUGGUGGGCACUGCGCUCAACUGCGUGGGGACGUGGAUCAAAGUGGCCAGUGUCCGGCCCGAUCUGUUCGCCGUCACUUUCCUGGGACAGUUCUGCUGCUCCUUGGCGCAGGUCUUCAUCCUGGGGAUGCCGUCGAAAAUCGCCUCGGUGUGGUUCGGUUCGGAAGAGGUGUCCACCGCCUGCUCCAUCGGAGUCUUCGGGAAUCAGAUGGGAUGUGCCAUCGGGUUCCUCUUACCUCCAAUCCUGGUGCCUAAUGUAGAAGACAUGGACGAGCUGGCAAAGCACAUCAAAACCAUGUUCUACAUAACAGCAGGAGUGGCUACUUUUCUUUUUAUCCUCGUUAUCUUUGUUUUCCAGGAGCGCCCGAAGCUUCCCCCGACUCUGGCGCAGGCCUCAGCUCGCUCAAUGCCACCAGAGGACUACUCCUAUGUAGCGUCCAUUCUCAGGCUGCUUCGAAACAAACCCUUUGUGCUCCUCAUCGUCAGUUAUGGUCUGAACGUGGGUUGCUAUUACGCUGUAGGAACUCUGCUGAACCGCAUGAUCAUCGAACGUUACCCUGGUGAAGAAGUGAAUGCUGGGAGGAUUGGGCUCACAAUUGUCGUUGCGGGGAUGGUCGGCUCCCUUAUCUGUGGAAUCUGGCUUGACAGAACAAAGACAUAUAAACAAACUACUCUGGCUGUGUACAUCAUGACUCUGGUGGGUAUGAUCAUAUACACGGCAACACUCGACCAGGGACUCCUCUGGGUGGUGUUCAUCACUGCUGGAUGUCUUGGGUUCUUUAUGACAGGCUACCUGCCUCUCGGUUUCGAGUUUGCAGCUGAGCUGACGUACCCGGAGUCAGAGGGAACGUCUUCGGGAUUGCUGAACUGUUCAGCACAGGUGUUUGGCAUCAUCUUCACGAUCUGCCAAGGGAAAAUCAUUGACAAUUUUGGGACGUUGGCAGGAAACAUCUUCCUCUGUGUAUUUCUACUGAUUGGCUCAGCAAUGACAGGUUUGAUCAAGUCUGAUCUGCGGAGACAAAAUGCAAACCGACUGGCCAAAGAAGAGGCGGAGAGGCGGAUGCUGGAACAAGACUACGGAGCGACAACCCAAAUCUCAUCCCAGCCACAAACUCCUUCCUCUCAAGCCUGAUCAAACAAAAAUUUUCUGUGUACACAAAAAAAAUCUUCUCAAAUUUUAGCUCAACACACAGCAUUAGAAAGGAACCUCCUGAUUCCACCAUGGGAAACUUGGACUUACCCACCAUCAUCAAAGAAGUCCGGUUGUAGAGGAAUUAAUUUAAUCUCUGACGAUACUUUCAAUAUGAAGUAUUGAUAAUCAUGAAACCGUCAGAUUCUUUUCUCUACUGAAUAGACUGAGACAAAUCUGUGAAACAAUGCUGCCUUGACAGUUUGAUCUGUCAGUAUUUUAUUUUUUAUGUUUAUUAAUAUUAUCUGACCAAAAUAGAGCAACAAAGUUUGAUAUUUUGUUGAUCCACUUUAGAUUUGAUUUAAUUACACAGUAGUUUUGAGAUUUAGGUGUAUGAUUAUGUCCAGAGAUGCUGUGAAAACUGAAAUUGUAACAGUGUUUUUUUGGUUUGUUUUCUUCUUUUUUUUAUUUUUUUAUUCUUCUUCUUAUUAUUAUUUUGUGCAAACCUCAUGAGGUGAAGGGCAGUGUUAUUACCACUAGAGUUUAUUUGUCAAAACCCAACUAAUGAAGACAAAGAGAAAUAUCUACACACUUUAUGAAAACAGUCACAACUUGUGCUGCUAUGGUAGAAUCCAAUAGUAGAGACUGAUUUAAAGGGGCAGUAUUAUGUAAAAUUGACUUUCUUGAGCUUUACACCAUGUCAAAAUGUUAUUCCCUCAUCAAACACAUACCUGAAGUGUUACCCUGAUUCUUUCAUUCGUGUUUGAGAAAUCCUUCAGUCUCCCAUGGCAAUCAUUCAGCUGUGCACAACGCCUGGGGGGACCUAGCGUCACCUUUGAGAUGUAACUUCACCUUGGUGCUGCAGUUUCGAAGCUUCUGAGGUUCUGCCUCACAGAACAGCCCUCCCCAGAAACUGCCCCACUCAGCUCCUUCAGGCUAGUCAGCAGCAAUUAGUAAACCCCUGGUGGAUCUGCUGAGCUUGUUAUAUGAGCUACUUCUCAGUGCAGCGCUGGUAAAACUGCUGUUAAAGGGUUAAUAGAAGAGUGAUGUUGUGAUUACUUCCUGAAGGUGCAACUUCAGAAAGACAGUUUUUAGAGAAAGAGGCACAAUUUCAAGUCUUUAAAUAUUGAAGUCAAAUUUCUUUUAAGUAAUAUUUGUUAUAUGCAGCAUUUUUAUAACAACUGAAGGCAAGAUAGUUAUCUGAUUGUGCCAUAAGAUUUCACUAUGUGCCUACAAAACAGAUAAUAUUGCCCCUUUACCGGAGAAAAUAUCCAUGUAAUUGUAUCAGUGAACAGAGUGUUCAUUUCAGUUUUCAAAGGGCUGAGUCUAUACAGGAUGUUUCCAGUCACACUGACUAUUCAAAGCAUUUUACACCAUAGCCAGAUUCGACCAAUCAUGCUCACAUUUGUACAAGACAUAGAUUGGUAGGCAAUUUGGGAGUACGGGUCUUGCUCAGUGGCACAUUGACAAAUGGCAGAAAUCAAACCCACAACUGUCGGAUUGCAAGACAAUUAAUUUGCUGCAGAGCUGCAGUUGCCCUUUGGCCACAAUCACCUAUGAAGCUCUCUUUACCUUCUGUGAAGGCAAGUCAUCACUCUCCUUGCAGACUUGUACAGUGGCCUACAAUUAUUGGUGCCCCUGGAGAAGAGGUGAAGAGGACCCUCACAUCAAUUGUUAUUAGGGACAUUUGGCGACCCUGAGAUUUGUCUCAGGGUCGCUACCUAGUUUUAGGUUUUGGCCAACCUAGUUUUAGGUUUUAGUCUAAAACUAGGCUAAAACCUAAAACUUGUGUCUCAUAGUUCCAGCGACUUGUUUUUGUUAUUUCUCUUUAUGUUGGUAGUUAUUUUCUUUCAACCACUCUAAUGACUAAAGACAAAUUUCUCUCGAAUCAGCUGAGUGUUUUUUGUCUUUAACAUUUUUGAAGAGCGUUACUAAAUCUAGCCUCUAUUAUAUCAUAUUUAAAACACAUUUUGAAAAAAGGAAAAGAUGGGUUUCCAAUUAAACACUAAUCAGUGCAGUGGCUGCACAGUGGAGCAGCUGGUAGCACUGUUGCCUUGCAGCAAGAAGGUCCAGGGUUCAAUUCCCUGCACGGAGU